rnacentral:rRNA from 1 species
GACGAACCGUGCGAACGUUGUUCGGAAUCACUGGGUUUAAAGGGCGCGUAGGCGGGCUGUCAAGUCGGUGGUGAAAUCGUUCCGCUCAACGGGACAAUGGCCUUCGAUACUGGCGGCCUGGAGGGAGGUAGGGGCAUGCGGAACUUCCGGUGGAGCGGUGAAAUGCGUAGAUAUCGGAAGGACACCGAUGGCGAAAGCAGCGUGCUGGACCUUUUCUGACGCUGAGGCGCGAAAGCCAGGGGAGCAAACGGG